rnacentral:rRNA from 1 species
GAUGAACGCUGGCGGCGUGCCUAAUACAUGCAAGUCGAGCGAACGGACGAGAAGCUUGCUUUUCUGAUGUUAGCGGCGGACGGGUGAGUAACACGUGGAUAACCUACCUAUAAGACUGGGAUAACUUCGGGAAACCGGAGCUAAUACCGGAUAAUAUUGUGAACCGCAUGGUUCAAAAGUGAAAGACGGUCUUGCUGUCAUAUAUAGAUGGAUCCGAGCUGCAUUAGCUAGUUGGUAAGGUAACGGCUUACCAAGGCAACGAAGCAUACCCGACCUGAGAGGUGGAUCGGCCACCCUGGACCUGGACCAGGGCCCAGCCCCCUACGGGGGGCAGAAGAAGGAAAUCUUCGGCAAUGGGCGAAACCUUGACGGAGCAACGCCGCGUGAGUGAUGAGGUUCUUCGGAUCGUAAGACUCUGUUAUUAGGGAAGAACAUAUGUGUAAUUAACUGUGCGCAUCUUGACGGUACCUAAUCAGAAAGCCACGGCUAACUACGUG